rnacentral:tRNA from 1 species
GGGGAUGUAGCUCAGUGAUAGAGCACUUGCCUAGCAUGUAUAAGUCCCUGGGUUCCAUCCCCA